rnacentral:misc_RNA from 1 species
AACCCCCAUGCCCCUCGAGCCCUUGUUUGGGCUCGGGGCGGCGUCUUGGGCCCCAGUUGUCGCGGGGAUCGGGCGAUGGCCCGCCCCCGUGUGGCCUUGAAGAAAUCGACAUCCGUCUGUGGGCGCUGGAUCCGUUAGGACUGUCGAGCCCUUUGGGAUGGAGAUGCACGGGCGCUGCUGCGCUGAAAA